AAUAACCAAAUAUGAUACUCGGGCUUAGGGUCAAGUUGGUAAUUUUUCUUACAGCUCCCCCUCCCGGAUCCCAGGUAUCAUAUGCGCCCCAAAAUAAAGAGCCUUGAAUACUAGAAGAAAAACACCUAGACCUAACAAGAUUAAGUGAAUAUCUAAAAUUAUGGUCAUUUUAUAUCGAUCUUUCCA
rnacentral:antisense_RNA from 1 species